AAAAGGAAAGACCUAUAGCGAGACUUCAGUGACAGAUGGAGGAGGAAAUCUUAGAGGCCUUUAGGAUCCCAGAUUGCUGCCUUCAAUGGUUUCCAUUAGUAUUGCCAAUCCCUUCUUCCCACCAGGCACAAACUCACAACUGCAUGGCAAGUCCUAAACUCUUGUGUCCAUGUAGAUCAGAAUGGGAACUGGUUUUCUUUCAUUCACUGUGGUGAGUUCAAGGCUUAUAUUGAGGAUAACAUACGUUGAAAUGCAUAGAAUCAUUGCAUCAAAUGCUCACCAGAGCCCUGGCACAUGGAUGAAGAAAAUACGCAGUUAUCUCAUGAAGGCCGAGGUUGUGUCAUUCCCUAAGCUUCUUCCUGUGAGCUCACGCUGGGCAGGGCCAGCACAGAUCGUUCAUCUUUUCUGCACCCCAUGACCGAGAAGCUGAUCAAUUUCCAGAAUAGCUCUAUCUGUUGAUAAAAUUGGAAAUGUUUGGGCCAAGUUUCUUCAGAAAUAGCCUCCUAUUCUAAGAACUGAAAACCAUCUUGGUCAUUGAGGCAUGGUUUAGAUGGCUAGAGGAUUUCUGGGGUUGGCAAGGCUCCAGUAUUUUCUGUAGUGAAUUGUGGGCCUGAGCUUGGGGUUCAAGGUAGAAGUGUUCUUGCCUGGUUGUAGGGCAGGCAGGGCAAGUCGGCCAUAGCA
rnacentral:lncRNA from 1 species